ACGAACGCUGGCGGCGUGCUUAACACAUGCAAGUCGAACGAUGAAGCCCUUCGGGGUGGAUUAGUGGCGAACGGGUGAGUAACACGUGGGCAAUCUGCCCUUCACUCUGGGACAAGCCCUGGAAACGGGGUCUAAUACCGGAUAAUACUCCUGCCUGCAUGGGUGGGGGUUAAAAGCUCCGGCGGUGAAGGAUGAGCCCGCGGCCUAUCAGCUUGUUGGUGGGGUAAUGGCCCACCAAGGCGACGACGGGUAGCCG
rnacentral:rRNA from 1 species